AUGGCGACCACAACCAUGUCUCUCUCCUCCUCGACCUUUGCCGGCAAGGCGGUGAAGAAUGUACAAUCGUCGACUCUCUUUGGCGAGGCCCGUGUCACCAUGCGCAAGACUGCAGCGAAGGCGAAACGGGUUUCCUCUAGCAGCCCAUGGUACGGUGCCGACCGUGUGCUCUACCUCGGCCCACUCUCUGGCGAGCCUCCGAGCUACCUGACCGGUGAAUUCCCUGGCGACUAUGGGUGGGACACCGCCGGGCUUUCGGCUGACCCCGAAACCUUCGCCAAGAACCGGGAGCUAGAGGUGAUCCACUGUCGUUGGGCCAUGCUUGGGGCGCUUGGUUGCAUCUUCCCUGAGUUACUCGCCCGCAACGGUGUCAAGUUUGGCGAGGCCGUUUGGUUCAAGGCUGGCUCCCAGAUUUUUAGCGAGGGUGGUCUCGACUACCUCGGCAACCCCAGCCUCGUCCAAGCGCAAAGCAUCCUAGCUAUUUGGGCGUGUCAAGUCGUGCUAAUGGGUGCCGUCGAGGGGUACCGCAUUGCCGGCGGCCCACUUGGCGAAAUCGUGGACCCACUCUACCCAGGCGGCAGCUUCGACCCUCUCGGUCUAGCCGAUGACCCUGAGGCAUUCGCUGAGCUCAAGGUGAAGGAGAUCAAGAACGGGCGUCUCGCUAUGUUCUCAAUGUUUGGUUUCUUUGUCCAAGCUAUCGUCACAGGCAAGGGCCCUCUUGAGAACCUCGCUGACCACAUCACUGACCCCGUCAACAACAAUGCUUGGGCGUUUGCCACCAAUUUUGUUCCCGGCAAGUAA
rnacentral:rRNA from 1 species